rnacentral:lncRNA from 1 species
UCAGCAUGGCGGAACAGAUCUUGGAAAGAACUGAAAUUCAGUUACGUAGGGACUUGCUCACAUCAGGGGACGGGGAGGCCAUGGCGGUCUGGGCAGGGGUCUCGAGCACGGAUUGCGGCGGGGAACGACAGGGAAGGCUCGAGCAGCGGCGGCUCUUGCCGGAUCUGGCCGGGGUGGCUCCAUUCCCGACGGAUCUGAUGCGAUCCGGCGGAGCUUGGCCUCCAUCGCUUCCUGUUCGAAUGAGACAGAGAGAGAUGAGCGAAGGGGGCGUGGAAGAAAGGGAAGAACGGGGAGAGCAGGGCAACGACGAGGUUACCGGCGGCGCUAGGAGGUGAGG